CCCCUCUCAGGGUCUCAACUGGAGAAUUUACAAUACUCUCCCUGUCUCGACUACAGGAGGGAGAGUCAAGCAGAAGCAUUCCCAUUCCAUUCCUAGCUUGGCCAGUGGCUAGUGAGUGAAAGGCAAUCUGCUACAAGU